rnacentral:rRNA from 1 species
GACGAACGCUGGCGGCGUGCUUAACACAUGCAAGUCGAGCGGUAAGGCCCUUUCGGGGGUACGACGAGCGGCGAACGGGUGAGUAACACGUGGGUGACCUGCCCUCAGCUCUGGGAGUAAGCCUGGGAAACUGGGUCUAAUACCGGAUAUGACUCCAUGACGCAUGUUGUGGGGUGGAAAGCCUUGUGCGGCUAGGGAUGGGCCCGCGGCCUAUCAGCUUGUUGGUGGGGUGAUGGCCACCAAGGCGACGACGGGUAGCCGGCCUGAGAGGGCGACCGGCCACACUGGGGACUGAGACACGGCCCAGACUCCUACGGGAGGCAGCAGUGGGGAAUCUUGCGCAAUGGGCGAAAGCCUGACGCAGCGACGCCGCGUGGGGGAGUGAC